UGGGGAAUAUUGGGCAAUGGAGGCAACUCUGACCCAGCCAUGCCGCGUGGGUGACGAAGGUCUUCGGAUUGUAAAGCCCUUUCGGCGGGGACGAUGAUGACGGUACCCGCAGAAGAAGCCCCGGCUAACUUCGUGCCAGCAGCCGCGGUAAUACGAAGGGGGCUAGCGUUGUUCGGAAUUACUGGGCGUAAAGGGCGUGUAGGCGGUCCGCUAAGACAGGUGUGAAAUUCCUGGGCUCAACCCAGGACGUGCGCCUGUGACUGACGGACUUGAGUCCGGGAGAGGAUGGUGGAACUCCCAGUGUAGAGGUGAAAUUCGUAGAUAUUGGGAAGAACACCCGUGGCGAAGGCGGCCAUCUGGACCGGUACUGACGCUAAGGCGCGACAGCGUGGGGAGCAAACAG
rnacentral:rRNA from 1 species